rnacentral:rRNA from 1 species
GAUGAACGCUGGCGGCGUGCCUCAAACAUGCAAGUCGAGCGGGGCUAUGUUGGACCGUAAGGGAAGAUAUAGCCUAGCGGCGAACGGGUGAGUAACACGUGGGUAACCUACCUGGAAGACAGGGAUAACGAUUCGAAAGGGUCGCUAAUACCUGAUAAUAUCUAACAGUCGGAUGGCAGUUAGAAGAAAGGGGAAACCCGCUUUCAGAUGGGGCCCGCGUCCCAUCAGCUAGUUGGUAAGGUAAAGGCUUACCAAGGCGACGACGGGUAGCCGGUCUGAGAGGAUGUACGGCCACACUGGGACUGAGAUACGGCCCAGACUCCUACGGGAGCAGCAGUUGGGAAUCUUAGGCAAUGGGCGAAAGCCUGACCUAGCGACGCCGCGUGAGGGAAGAAGGCCUUCGGGUCGUAAACCUCUGUCAUGGGGGACGAAGGAAGUGACGGUACCCCAAGAGGAAGCCCUGCUAACGUACGUGCCAGCAGCCGCGGUAAAACGUGUGUGUA